rnacentral:lncRNA from 1 species
GUUGGUAUAUACUAUACUGUGGUCACUAUACCAUUAAGUCAUCGACAAUGACGAUCAACUUUCCUAUUAUUUGUCGAAAUAAAUUAAGGUUCCUUGACUUUCAUCCUGAGGAUCUGAGGAUGUAUCAGUGCAAUCUCAUAGUAUAUAUUCUGACAUUCGAUGUGAUAGAGAGGAUAAUUGGGCUUGCAUGUCAGCAUAUGCUCGAUUAAGCAAGGUGUACUAACACGUAUAUUGGUUAUUUCUUGUUAAGUAAAUAUACUGAAAAAAAAAGAAUAUCAUAUAGCUGGUAAUAAGGGCAAGUACGUUAGUACAAGUCAUCAGCUCCAUGUAGGAAUUUUUUAUGGUGUGUAGGAGAGAGUGGGAGAGAUGAGAGAACAAGGUGGUUAUUUCGUGAUGGAACCACCCUGUAAGCUAAAAUUUAGGAAUAUGGAACUAUUCCUCGUUCAUUGUACAAGUUGUUGUUACAAGGAUCUCACAUACAAUUUCUUUUAAUAUGCAUAAAUUAAGGAACCACUGUGCAAAAAGAGAUUUAUGUUAACGAUCAAAAGAGAUAUAUGCUAGCCUAAAGAUGGGGGUGGUGCGGUUCGAACCUCCGGUUUGUCGAACCAAUCUGCAAAAACAAUCCUAAUGGGCUCCUUCUCUGACCCACGAAGUCGCCUUGGUUAAGGGGAUCAAAAAAAAGAGAACCAAUGGUUCAAGGGGUUUGACCCGACCCUUCGACUUGGCGGCGGUGCGACAUAGUGAGCUCUAAGCAAAUCGAGAAGGUCUGGCGU